ensembl:lncRNA
GGUUUUCUUUGAGACUGUGGUCCCAGCUCUCUUCAGGUCAUUGACCAGGUCCUGCCAUUUUGUUCUGGGCUGAUCCCUCACAUUCCUCAUGAUCAUUGAUGCCCCACGAGGUGAGAUCUUGCAUGGAGCCCCAGACCGAGGUUGAUUGACCGUCAUCUUGAACUUCUUCCAUUUUCUAAUAAUUGCGCCAACAGUUGUUGCCUUCUCACCAAGCUGCUUGCCUAUUGCCCCGUAGCCCAUCCCAGCCUUGUGCAGGUCUACAAUUUUAACCCUGAUGUCCUUACACAGCUCUCUGGUCUUGGCCAUUGUGGAGAGGUUAGAGUCUGUUUGAUUGAGUGUGUGGACAGGUGUCUUUUAUACAGGUAACGAGUUCAAACAGGUGCAGUUAAUACAGGUAAUGAGUGGAGAACAGGAGGGCUUCUUAAAGAAAAACUAACAGGUCUGUGAGAGCCGGAAUUCUUACUGGUUGGUAGGUGAUCAAAUCCUUAUGUCAUGCAAUAAAAUGCUAAUUAAUUACUUAAAAAUCAUACAAUGUUAUUUUCUGGAUUUUUGUUUUAGAUUAUACAAUAGAUACUUGUUCAAUUACUUGAUACUUGAACAAUACUUGUUCUCCCCACUGUACGUGUUAGGAUGGGAAUGAACAACUUAUUUUACAGAGGCUGACGGUAAUGAUGACGAUGAUGAUGAUGAACUGGUUGCAGCUGAUGACGACGAUGAUGAUGACGACAAUGAUGAUGAUGACGAUGAGGAAGAGGACGAUCAACUGUAUCACAAAGGAUCCCUCUGUUCAUACUGUGAAUACUGUGAGCACUGUGACACCUGUCAGAUGUGCAACUUCUGCUACGUGUGUCCCAUUUGCAGCACACUUUGCCAACCAGGUGGUUUUCUGGACGAGCUGACUGGAUCAAUCUAUAAGACUGUAGCCGAUGUCUUCGAAGCUGACAAAUAAGCCCCUGUCGCCACCAUGUGGCCAAGGAAGAUGCUGCAACCAAGGGAUUGUAUUAUCUCUUAGAUUCACUGUCAUUAUUCUCACUUUUAAUAAGUUAUAAAUAAUUUUUCUGUCUUUCUUGUUGUUGACUGAGAACACCACAAACAUGCAAACUGGAUAUAGAGAUACUGGAUAGAUUGGAUACACAUAUUGGAUAUAAUGGAUAGCCAAUAGAAGUUGUGAGAAUAUGAGAAUGAGAAUAACUUUAAUUGAGCUAUUUGUGUAUUAUUUUUAGAUGACAGGUUUAUGGUAUUCUUCUCAGGAACAUGCAUUCGUAUUUUAAAGUCAUAUCUGUGUUUCUUAAAAACAGUGGGGUUGUAUGAAAUAAACUAAAGGGGAAGUUUUAAACAUUUGUGCUAUACUGUUUUUAUGUGCACUGUCAUAUCAAAUGGAAAAUGCAUCUAGAAUUAGGCUAUAAUAGAACAGAAUAUGUUGGCAGAUGUGCGCAAACAUUGGGUAUUUUAUCAUUUCAGCUUCAAUUAGAAGAUUCAUAUUUUGUAAUGGGGAAUAUAAGCAUAGAGUGUAAAUUGUUGACUGCCAUUGAGUAGAAUGUACAGUAUAUACUGAACAAAAUAUAAACGCAACAUGUUGGUCCGAUGUUUAAUGAGCUAAAAUAAAUUGUCCCAGAAAUUAUAUCUCUCUCAAAUUUUGCACACAAGAUUGUUUACAUCCAUGUUAGUGAGCAUUUCUCCUUUCCCAAAAUAAUCCAUCCAGCUGACAGGUGUGGCAUACCAAGAAGCUGAUUAAACAGCAUGAUCAUUACACAGGUGCACCUUGUGCUCGGGACAAUAAAAGGCCACUUUAAAAUGUGCAGCUUUGUCACACAACACAAUGCCACAGAAGUUUGAGGGAGCAUGCAAUUGGCAUGCGGAAUGUCCACCAGAGCUGUUGCUAGAGAAUUUCAUGUUCAUUUCUCUACCAUAAGCCACCUCCAACAUAGUUUUAGAGAAUUUGUGUAUGGCGUCAUGUGGGCAGGCAUGAACUACAGACAAUGAACACAAUUGCAUUUUAUCAAUGGCAAUUUGAAUGCACAAAAAUACUGUGACAAAAUCCUGAGGCCCAUUGUGAGGCCCAUUUUUUUUAUAGGUAUCUGUGACCAACAUGUCUGUAUUCCCGGUCAUGUUAAAUCCAUAGAUUUUUUUCAAUAGACUGAUUUCCUCAUAUGAACUGUUAACUGAAAUUGUUGCAUGUUGAGCUUAUAUUUCUGUUCAGUAUAUGUCUUUGGUCUUCACAGGUCAACAUAAUUGGGGUCAAAUACUAUUACUGCAUAACAUUUGAACAUACCUCUAAUAUAGUUUUUGGGCAAAUCAAUAUUUUUACGUCAAGUAGUAUUCACAUAGGCAAGGUUGUGUAGUAACGAAUUACAUGUAAUGGGGAUUAUGUAAUCCGAUUACAAAAAUGAAGUAACUAAUCAGCCCGGAUUACUUUAAAAAAAUGUCAUUGGGAUUACAGUUAAUGUAUUAAAAACAUCUGAUUAUAUUUUGGA